rnacentral:tRNA from 1 species
GUCUCUGUGGCGCACAUGGUUAGCGCGUUCGGCUGUUAACCGAAAGGUUGGUGGUUCAAGCCCACCCAGGGACG